rnacentral:rRNA from 1 species
UACGUAGGCAGCAAACGUUGUUCGGAAUUACUGGGCGUAAAGAGUGUGUAGGCGGUUCUGUAAGUUUGGUGUGAAAUCUCCCGGCUUAACUGGGAGGGUGCGCCGAAAACUGCAAGGCUUGAGUGCUGGAGAGGAUAGCGGAAUUCCAGGUGUAGCGGUGAAAUGCGUAGAUAUCUGGAGGAACACCGGUGGCGAAAGCGAGCUGCUGGACCUCUUCUGACGCUGAGGCGCGAAAGCCAGGGGAGCAAACGGG